UACAGAGGGUGCAAGCGUUAAAUCGGAAUUACUGGGCGUAAAGCGCGUGUAGGCUGCUCUGCAAAGUCGGAUGUGAAAGCCCUGGGCUCAACCUAGGAAGUGCAUUCGAAACUGCAGAGCUUGAGUCCUGGAGAGGAUAGCGGAAAUUCUCGGUGUAGAGGUGAAAAUUCGUAGAUAUCGAGAGGAACACCGGUGGCGAAGGCGGCUAUCUGGACAGUGACUGACGCUGAGACGCGAAAGCGUGGGGAGC
rnacentral:rRNA from 1 species